AGAAAAUUAUUAGACAAUUAGGAAAUCACAGUGGCUCUAAAUAAAACAGCAACCGUCCACAUAUAUUUAAUGGGGUGUGUUAAGGAGUGCUUCUUACUGCUAUAAAUUGUUUUAGGAUAACUGAGUGGGCAGGGGAAGAACACACAAGUGGAGCAACAGAUCUAUAGAACAUUUUUCAAGAAGAGUGGACUAUACCUCAUUUCUAGCUUUAGGGCGAUCGAGAAGGAUCUUCAGUGCAAACCGUUCUUGAGACGAUUUUUUCAUGCAGACUCUGUCCAGAUAGCAGCAAAAUCAUUUGGUUAGUGGGGAAGUUAUAAAGAAGCUACCGACAUAUGAAUGAAUUCCUCAUUUGAAGACAGAGAGAGAAAGAGAGAGAGAGUCUAAAGCCUUCCCAAUCUAGACUCCUGCAUUAUUUCUACAUUAAUGUUUGGACAUAGUGUGUUGGGAAACAUCCCUUGAACAGGGCACAACAUCCUGCCUGGAAGCCACGGCAUCUCUCCACACCUGAUGAACAUAGGAAAAGUCAUUUGAUUGGUCAGAACCCAAAUAUAACCCCUGCCUGAUCAGGCCCAUUCAUGCUUCCUAAAAUGAAAAAGAGCUACUGGGGCCACAACUAGCUUACUUAAGUAGCUGGAUUAAAAGGUGGUUUAUGCUCCUACGCAUGAGCACAAAAGCAGUCCAAAACAAUUUGGAGGUGUGUGUGACCAUGUCUGAAAGUCACAUUUUGCUGUCAUUAAACACAUAUGAGAAUGGCAUGUUACUGCAUUUAUUUUUAAAAAAAACAUUGUAAAGGAGUCCUGUGAACUGCUGGAGUUAUGUAUGUGCAAAUUGAGGAUGGGAACCUUAUGCAAUAGUGGGACAGAAGCCUAAUAAAUAAAAGCAUUAAAGAUGUGUUACAAAAUAACUUUGUUUUGACACAAACCGAAUAAGAAAUGAGCGAAGGAAUAUCCAUUUCUGCUCACAGCACAAUUAAAGCAUUCAGUAUUUCAUUAUUAUCCAGAGAGUUUAAUCACAGCAACAAAAUGCAUCUUCUUACCUUACUGGACCACUGAUACCAGCUCCCAGCUUCUGAGUCCAGUUAAUAUGGUAUUCUUCUAAAAUAGAAGUUUCCUGUUUCAAAAGGGAAAAGAAGAAACAUUUAACUACAGCAUCAUCUUUGGAGAGCUCAGGCAGAGCCCUAUGUGAUGCCAGCUGCAAAUCCUAUAUAGUGUAAUAUAGUACCGAAUUGUAUUGUAAUUAUAUAAAGAGCAUAUCCACAAAUCUACAAUACCAAUUUGUUCUGUUCAGUUUAUAUGCUGGAUCUUAUUUAGCUGUAACUCUAGCAUUUUGCUGUUUAUGAGACAUGUACAAUAAAUGUGGAUAUAUAAUAAUUAAUUGGGAAGGGGGAGGCAGCAGGAGAGAAGGGCAGCAACACAGGCAGGCAGCAUUAUGUCUUUUUGCUGCCAAGUGAUGACCUUUGUCAUGGACUGGUUGGAUGCAGAGAAGUGGAAGGAAGGCCCAGCUGGGGAACAAAGCGCCCAGGGAUUGGGGGUGGGACAACGAGUGGCCAGAGGGAGGUGGGAAGAGGAGGUGCCAGAAGCUGAAGAUGCAACUGGGAGAAUCUAGUUACAAUUGGUCUGCCGUAGUCAAAACAAAAUUUAAAAAAUUCCUUCCAGUAGCACCUUAGAGACCAACUAAGUCUGUUAUUGGUAUGAGCUUUCGUGUGCAUGCACACUUCUUCAGAUACCAAGAGUUUGUGACAGAGAGAAGUCCAGAAUCAGAAGCUGCAGCAGACGAGUGGGAGAAGGGAGGCCAAGAUGAGUCAGGCUGGUGAAGAGUCACAGGUGUCUCCCCCUACUGCUGCAAUAGCUCCCCUCCUCCCAAAACCAGAAGAGGGCUGAAAUGGGCGGAGCAGCAGCAGGCUUCACGCAGGCACAGUUUCCGACUGCGUAGAAAAAGCCCUGGAGGAGACUUAAGAUGGCUAUGGGGAGGCAGGGGCUUUCGGUCUUGACAACUGAUUCAUGGGGUAAGUCCUACCGGGGAUGUGCUCAUUAGACCUGACAUCAGCCAAGUUUGUACAGUUCAUGUUUUUACUAAGACUUAAUUCCAACUUUGAAUGGUGUGAUUGACAGCCAGCUUGCUCUUAGACACCUUUAUACACUCACAGGCAUUUUAGAAUCUCUGGCAUUUAGAUCCUGAUCUUCUGUUUCAGUUAGAUGCCAAUGCUGUUGUAGACCCCCUGGUCUUUAAUACAUAACUUCUUUACAUUUUUAUUGAUAUUUUCUAUUUCUAAAGCCAUCCAACUACAAUAGGUGUUGGGGAAAUUUCACCCUCUGGAUGUUGCUGAACUACAACUCCUAUCAACCGUGGCAAUUGGCAAUGCUAACUGAGGUUGAUGGAAGUUGCAGUUCAGCAACGUCUGGAGGGGCAAAGGUUAACCACACCUGGGGCUAUAAAGAGGGGUACAAAUUUAGUGUAUGUGUACAGCAACACCCACAUAUUCUUACCUCAAUAAACAUUUCCUUCCUGCUCCUCUACAGCAGUGAUGGGCCCCCCCAGCUGUUUUUGGGACUACAAUUCCCAUCAUCCCUGACCACUGGUCCUGUUAGCUAGGGAUGAUGCGAGUUGUAGUCCCAAAACAGCUGGAGGGCCAAGUUUGGCCAUGCCUGCUCUACAGUCUCCCUUGUGCAGGCAUACAUGUGUAUGUUAUCACAAGCAUCUUGGGGCAGAGACUUCUCUUCCCAUUGAACACUGAAUACUUAAUUAAAUAUGUUGAACCCAAAUAAUCAAACAUUUUCCUAUUUGCCCCUGCCUCCUCCCUCUGCUGUCUCCCCAAUAUCCAAUUUUAGAUCGUAAGCACUUGAGGCAGAGACCUGUCAUCUUAUAUUGAUGGAAAUAUAUCUUGCAUAUAAUAAAUAGUUAAGAACAUGGCCACGCUGCAGUUUGUGUGGCCACCCACAGGGGGCACUGCAAACUACAGUACAAUGACAAAUUGGGCCCUCAGAGCUGCUGGGCCAUCACUGCAGUUUCAAAGGGUGAGAAGGAGGGAACAAGAGAUGAAGCAAACAAGUGGGCGGGUGGCCUGGGAGGUGGCCCAGUCCUACAAGCACAGUGGUAGGUGGGGUUGGCAAGUGAAGCGAGCUGGGCCACAGACCCUAGUAAAUUUACAAAAUCAAUAAUAAGAAUCAUUGUUUGGGAAUGCUGUGCAUGUGAAUGGAGCUAUAAUACUAACACCAUAGUAACAAAGAAGUGUUCUUUCAUUCUCUGCUAAGUGCUGUGUAUAUAUAAAGGGCUCUACACUACUACUACUACUACUACUACUACUACUACUCAGUGACAGAGUAUGCAAAAAAUCCUGGGUUCAAUCCCUAGGAUCUCAGAUAGGGCUGGGAGACUCCUAUCGGAGAUCCUGGAGCAUCACUGUCAGCUAGAUGGACCACUGGUCAGAUACGGUAUAAGGCAGCUUCUUUUGCCUGAAUUAAUCCUCAUAUUCCUAACAGAGAACAAAACUUGUAAGCACUGGAACACAUUUCUGCUUAAUAAUUCACUAUUCUCUGAGUCACUGUACUCCACAAGCCCAGACCUGUGGGACAUGUGACUUAUUGGCCAUGAAUCAUGGCAAGGGGGAGAUCAACCUGGCCCCAACCAUUCUCCAUUGAAGUAGCAGCUGCUUCAACACUUGCUUUCUUCUUUCCUCUGUACCCUUCUUUCGUUUUGCAUUGUGUCCACUAAGAUUGUAAGCCAGUGAGCAGUGACUGUCUCAUAUUUGUAAGUAUAAGUAUAGUGAUUAGAAAACUCUAGCUGCUUUGUAGGUAUUAUAUAUGAAUAAUGGGUGCUCUGUCAAAUGAAGUGAGACCCUUGAAGUCCCUUCUAACUCUACAAUUCUACAGUUCUAAGUAACCAUCAAGAAGAGGGUCUUUUUCAUAGAGGCACCCUGGUUGUAGAACAAAUUUCCCAGGAAAGCUAGCCUGAGAAAAGACCAUAAUUUCAGCACCAAUGGAAAAGCAUUCACUUCGCACAGGCUUUUAAAAUAAAGUACAACAUGUGGCCCUCCGUUUUUAAAUCCAUUUAACUUUGCAGCUGCAGAGUUUUGUUUUUGUUGUAUCUGUGUCUAUUUUUGAUGCCUAUUUGUGUUUAAGCUUACCUAUUAUAAGCCACCCAGGGAAAUUUAUGUCGCAAAGCAACCUACAAAUGCCAUUAAGUCAGUCUUCCCCCAGUGUAUAGCCUCCAGGUGUAGUUGAGACUACAGCUCCCAUCAUUCCUGACCACUACUGCCCUGGGUUUAUGAGAGCCCAACAUCAUCUGGUUAGAAGGGAAGGUUGCCAUAAAUAAAUAAAAAAUAUAAGAGAUGCACGAUUGCCAAGGUCCAGGAUAAGAACGUAAGAAAGAGCCUGCUGAAUCAAGGCACAAGGAGCCCAUCUAGCUCAGCAUCCUGUUCCCAUAGCAGCCAAACAGAUGCCUAUUGUGGGAAACCCGUAAGCAGGACCCAAAACCAAGAGCCCUCUCGGCUCCUGUGGUUCCCAGCAACUGUUAAUCCUGAGCAUUUACUGCCUCUGACUGUGGAGGCAGUGCAUAGUAGCCACCGACAGCCUAAUAAUAAUAAUAAUAAUAAUUUAUUAUUUAUACCCCGCCCAUCUGGCUGGGUUAUCUGCCACGGCUCCUCUUCUCAAGCCAUCCAAGUUGAUGGCCAUCACUGGCUCCCGCGAGUUCCGCGGUUCAGCCAAGCGCUGCACGGACAAACACUUUCUCGUAUCUGUUUUGAAUCUGCCAAGAGGCCGGGGGUGCAGGCCCUGCUGCCGUCCGAACUCUGCACACGCUCAGAGGCACUGCGCCCAGGCUUCAAGUAGAACAAUUAAGCGGCCUCCUCUUCCUCCUCGCCCACCCCUCCGCGCGUCGUCCAUGAAGGCCGCCCCGCAGGCCCCGCUACCUUGAUCAUCUUGUCCGCGUCAGGCUCCUCCGACAUCCUCCGCCGCUUCAGGCCCGGCGAGGGGAGCCUGUGGGGAAGGAGGGGGAGCGGGGCCGGGCUAGGCGGGGGGCCGCCCCUCCAAGUCGGUGUCGUCGGUGUCGUUGUUGUCGCCGCCCGCGCCGCUGCCGGCGCUGCUGCUGCCGCUGCCGCUGCCCCCUCCGCCACCGCCUCCUCCGCCGGGCUGCCGCCUCAUCCCCACCCAGCCAGGGAAGGAAAGCGAAGAGGGCGCGAGAGGCCUUUCCUCACGGCCGGGAGGCUGAGGUAAAUGAGGGGAUGGAGGAAAUUAGUGCCGCCGCCGCCGCCUUCUCCUCAGCUUUCCCUAAUCCGGGCUCCGCCUCAGGCGCCGAGGCUCGACUCCGGCUAAGGAGCCACCAGCCAUUGCCACAGCUUCGCCCCCGCCGAGGGCAGCCGCGCCUGAUCUGCCGAGCAACUCCAGCGGGGUCGCGUUCGGAGCCGGGGCCUGCCUAGCUCCCUCUCUUUCCCGCCGUCUCUCUCGCGCGAGCAGCGAUCCCAAAUGGGCCUCUUUCGCGGCGGGGGGAAACUUAUCAGGCGAGUGAAAUAGGCAGCGUCAAGCAUCACGAGCUGCACAUCGGCGACGCGACGUCGUAGGUGAAAGGCCCUUCCGCCUUUCUUCACAGAUGUAUUUAGGGUGUGUGGGGGUUUUUAUUAUUAUUAUGGCCCGGGGACCUUCCUCUCUUUCGCGUCGCUUUUUGAUGGCGCUUCGGUGCGGGGUUACCUGAGGGUAGGAAUAAAAGCGGGGAGGGAAUUUGAUGCCGGCAGAGGGGAGGGGUUUCCUAGGCACGACUUCGCCCCGCCCCCUUUCGAACACGCCCCUUUGUGGGUUGACGGGGCGGUUUGGGUCACUCGCCGCUUUUCGAGGCGAAGUCUCGCGAUGUUUGGAGAUCGUCAAGCUCCCGGAGAGAAGCGAAGAAAGAAGGAAGCGAGGCUGGCGGCCAUUUUGGCUGCGGAGCUCUAUCCGUAGUUAAAACCUAUGUAAACUAAUCAAAUGUAACCCCGCUGUUCUUAACCAUACUGAAGGGACAGAAUACCCAAAUCCUGUCUGUGAAAUCACCCCAGGCUUCAAUAAUCAACCAGGCCUCAAAACUCCUUUCGUCUUCUAAAAAAAUCCAAAACAGCUUUUCUCUGCUCUUCUCACAAGAUGCUGUGGCAAAAGGCAAAAUGUUACUUUUAAAGGCUAAUGAAUAGGCUCUGUUCAUAGCAGGCCUGGGAAAUGAAUCUUAUCUCAUUCAGUUGCAACUUCUUAGACAUGCUGAACUGUUCUGAUUCCCCUUUCCUGCCAAGAGUCCCAAUAGUCCCAAGACAGCUUUCUGUUCAUGCUCAGAGGAACUCAUGGGGCAGGACUCCUGGGAAAGGAGGAGGGAACUGGAAAGGGGUAUAUAUGCUUGUGCACAUGACUGUGAACUUCGUGCAUGCUUUUUGUGAACUAUCACACUUGUUCCUUCUACCAGUUCAUGGAUGGUAGAAAUAAAAGCCUUUUCUC